GCCUAGCAUAGCUUAGUCAGUAGAGCAUGAGACUCUUAAUCUCAGGGCCAUGGGUUCAAGCCCCAUGCUGGGCA